UUUCAUUCUUUUGCAUGUGGGUGUCCAGCUUUCUCAACACCAUUUAUCGGAGACUGUCUUUUCCCCAAUCUAUAUUCUUGGCUUCUCUGUCAUAAAUUAAUGACCAUCCAUGUGUGAAUUUAUUUCUGGGCUCCCUAUUCUAUUUCAUUUCUUUAAAUGUCUGUU